GACGAACGCUGGCGGCGUGCUUAACACAUGCAAGUCGAGCGGUAAGGCCUCUUCGGGGGUACACGAGCGGCGAACGGGUGAGUAACACGUGGGUGACCUGCCCUCAGCUCUGGGAUAAGCCUGGGAAACUGGGUCUAUACCGGGUUUUACCUUUCCUCGCAUGGGGUUUGGUGGAAAGGUUUUUCGGCUGGGGAUGGGCCCGCGGCCUAUCAGCUUGUUGGUGGGGUGAUGGCCUACCAAGGCGACGACGGGUAGCCGGCCUGAGAGGGCGACCGGCCACACUGGGACUGAGACACGGCCCAGACUCCUACGGGAGGCAGCAGUGGGGAAUAUUGCGCAAUGGGCGGAAGCCUGACGCAGCGACGCCGCGUGGGGGAUGACGGCCUUCGGGUUGUAAACCUCUUUCGACCCCGGCGAAUUUGGACGGUAGGGGUAGAAGAAGCACCGGCCAACUACGUG
rnacentral:rRNA from 1 species